rnacentral:rRNA from 3 species
UGGGGAAUAUUGCACAAUGGAGGGAACUCUGAUGCAGCGACGCCGCGUGAACGAAGAAGGCUUUCGAGCCGUAAAGUUCUUUUAUAUGGGAAGAUAAUGACGGUACCAUAAGAAAAAGCCCCGGCUAACUACGUGCCAGCAGCCGCGGUAAUACGUAGGGGGCUAGCGUUGUCCGGAAUCACUGGGCGUAAAGGGUUCGCAGGCGGAAAUGCAAGUCAGGUGUAAAAGGCAGUAGCUUAACUACUGUAAGCAUUUGAAACUGCAUAUCUUGAGAAGAGUAGAGGUAAGUGGAAUUUUUAGUGUAGCGGUGAAAUGCGUAGAUAUUAAAAAGAAUACCGGUGGCGAAGGCGACUUACUGGGCUCAUUCUGACGCUGAGGAACGAAAGCGUGGGUAGCAAACAGG